rnacentral:rRNA from 1 species
UACGGAGGGUGCAAGCGUUAUCCGGAUUUACUGGGCUUAAAGGGUGCGCAGGCGGAUAUGUAAGUCAGUGGUGAAAUCUCCGGGCUUAACCCGGAAACUGCCGUUGAUACUAUAUAUCUUGAAUGCUGUGGAGGUAAGCAGAAUAUGUCAUGUAGCGGUGAAAUGCUUAGAGAUGACAUAGAAUACCUAUUGCGAAGGCAGCUUACUACGCAGAUAUUGACGCUCAGGCACGAAAGCGUGGGUAGCAAACAGG